rnacentral:rRNA from 1 species
CAGCACCCCAAGUGGUCAGGAUGAUUAUUGGGCCUAAGGCAUCCGUAGCCGGCUCUGUAAGUUUUCGGUUAAAUCUGUAUGCUCAACAUACAGGCUGCCGGGAAUACUGCAGAGCUAGGGAGUGGGAGAGGUAGACGGUACUCGGUAGGAAGGGGUAAAAUCCUUUGAUCUAUUGAUGACCACCUGUGGCGAAGGCGGUCUACCAGAACACGUCCGACGGUGAGGGAUGAAAGCUGGGGGAGCAAACCGGAUUAGAUACCCGAGUAGUCC